UUUUGUUUAACCUACGCAGCGAGUAUACAUAAUGGCUAAAUGAGCUAAUCUACAACGAAUUCCUCGUUAAAUUACUCUCUGUAACUGACAGAGGGCUAAAAAAUGGCAUUCUUCAUAUAUAAACCAGUAAAAAAAAUAAAAAUCUAAGACGACUAUGAAACCUCUGGUUAGACAAUCAAUGACGGACCGGGGAGACGCUCUCCCCUUUGGAGAUGAAACAACAGCUGCCUGUUGGAAGUGAUGACAUAGCCAGAAGAUUGCUUAACUGCAAUUCCAUUCUGAGGUUUGGUGUUCAAAGAAAAGAAUGAUUAUCACACGGAAAUUCCUGCUGUAUUUUCCUUCAGUCUCCUCUCAGCUGCUAGAGCAGCAGCCACGGACGACACAGUGGACGACACUGUUGCGAAUAGGGACUCAACAUCCUUAAGGGUUAAGAAAGGCUGAUCCUGAUUCUUCGUGUUCCCACUUAUGAAUGAACUGGUGCUUCUACUUCUGUUCAGUUUAUAUAUGCUCUCUUCCACGGUGUCUUUAACCUAAUGAAAUUUUGUUAGAACACAUAGAGACUAUAAAGAAGAAAUUCUAACAGAUGACAUGAAUUUUCGAAGUUUCGGACAACAAGCAAACUAGAAAGCAUGAGAUUGAAGAAUUACACACGUGCACAAAUUCACAAAAAGGAAUGAGAUUGAAGAAUUGUUAAUAGAAAACCCUCACGCUAGUCCUUAAAGAGUUCCUGCAUGCUCCUUUUUAUUCAUAGCAUCAAAUCUUUUCUAAUAUAAUCACUAAAGAAGGGAGUGUACAUUUAAAUUCUGAAACAAAUAUAAAAGGCUCCAUUCGAGCAACAAUCGGAUGGAUGACAUGAUAAGGAUUAUUAUAAGUCUAAUCUAAUUACAUAUAGAAAUUGCAUGGAUAAAUGGAGAGCUAAAUAGAAAUGUAAAUUGUUUUAAAAAGGAACUCAAACAAAUAGUCCCAAAAUACCCCAUGCCUAUCUUCAGUGUGGUGAGGUUAUGUAUCUCAAAUGCAUGUCUGCUAUAUGCAAUGUUCAAAAGAGAAAAAACGCAAGUGUUUAGCAUCCAAAAUUAGUUUAACAUAAAACAAAAUAAAAAAGGAAAAGGAGCAUACUAUAAAUCGAUGGACUAAUGUCCUCUUUUCCUGCCCAAUUCGGUGCACCCGGCUGACUGCUUGAGCCUCAGCUGCUGGAUUGAGCAGUGGCUCCACAAGAAAACAUGCUGUGCUUCUAAGAGAUUGAGUGCAUUGGCUCCAUGCUGGAUUAAGAGCAGCAACACUUGAACAGAUUUUGUUUCUUGUUGUUGUCUAUCAGUUCUUUUGAGACUGCUAUUCUGCGCUCUGAAUUCACUGAUGGCAACAUGUGAUUUCCUGCAUUUAUGAAGUCACAACCAAAAGACAUGAUAAAAAAUAAGUUGAAGUCUACAAAUAACUUGAUCAACAUUAAAAUACCUGAAACACACUUCUAACAGUAUUUUUGGCACUGGGAAACAAAGAGGUAUGCAUACAUUCAAACUUUUAAACUUCCCACAAUACCAAUUUUUACAGAACUCCAAGUGUUGAUCUACUAUAAUUGGAUCUCUCUCUUCCCUCCCCAAGGUUAAAUUACAACAUUUCAAUAUUUGCACAAAUUAUGCAAGGCAGUUAUUUUUCAUCCCCAAUCUCCUUUCAUUUUGUUCGUGAUAUCAUUAGUAUUCAUCAACCUAAUUUUUGCACUUUGCUUGCAUAAGAAUGCUGAAAACAGAAGGAACCACUUUUCUUGGAUGAUGUGGUUUCGUGAUAAUUUUGUUUGAGUUACCAAAUUAAGAGGAAUUUAACAACAAUCUUUUGGCAAACCUGAAAAGCAAAAUGAAAAUUCUCCUGGAUGGCAUAGCCCUUUUCUUUUGGCCCAUCAAGGUCCAUGAAGAUCAGUUGAACUAUAAAAAAAACAUAAAUAAGAUGAUCAAGAGAUCUAUCUACCUUCCUCCUUUCAUCCGGAUAUAGGUGAUUUCAUUAGCAUUGAAAGCAUGCUCUAACACAUCAAGGACAUCAUUCCAACUUGAAAAUACGAGAACCUUUGCUUUAGGAUCUGAAGACUUUAUCCACAAGAUUCUUCUAGUGACUGCUUCAACCUUUAUGGUGCCAAAAAAGAAGUGAACAAGGUUUAUGCUCUGGGAAAAGGAGAAUAGAAAUGCAAUAGUAAAUGCUGUCUUAAGUGCACUAUGUGCAUGUUCCAAGACUAUAAAUUUGAAUUUGAAUUUGCUCAAGGCAUUAGAUUAGGAAGUAAACCUUUGUUCCAUAUGAACCUUGAACAGCCAAAGUAGCUUCAGUUUUUUCACAGCCUUGAAUUGCAUCCAGCAUAGCAGAACUACAAGAUUUGUCCUGUCUAUCAUCGGCAUACGCAAUAUUCCCAAAAUCAGUAUGCUGCCGACAUGUUGGGCACAUUACCCAUUUACGUUGGAACCUGUUAUCAUGCAUUUUUCGCUCAGUCAUUGCAAAGAAACCUGCAAGAAAAAAGCAUGAAAUGAAAAUUAAAUGGCGCUUAACCAGGGUGAAAUAUUUCAUAUGAGAGGAAUCAACAGGUAAUAAAGUCAACUCCAACGUACUUAAGAUGGUUGAGGACAUCUAAGAGACAAGCAAGCAUGCAUGUCUAAGUACAUGCAUGCAAGCAAUCAUGUGCAUCGCACUCACACACACAUGAAAGAGAGAAGUCUGAGGAACUGGUGCAAGCAAUCAUGAGCAUCGCGCUCACACACACAUGAAAGAGAGAAGUCUGAGGAACUGGUGGGUCAAGGAUGCUAAGACAAAGUAUUCAUCAACUGAGAAUGCAGUUGACCCAUCAUAUCAAGGUAGAAAAAUUGCCAUGGUCUCUCCUAACUUUUAAGUGACAAAAUGCAGAUAUAGGAAGCAGGAUUAUCAAUAUGUUGUGCGACAAUUAGGAGAAAAGGUAGUCUUUUAUAAGAUGGUUUCUUAUCAUGCAUUGGCUUUUGCACCUGCUAUUACUGGCUUAGAAGGUUGGAUGCCCAGUUUUAGCUGGAUCCAGACUCCAUGUGUAGGAUUGUUUGGUUUGUUCUGUUUGGGAUGCCUAUUGGGUCAUUUGCUUCUUUUUAUCAAUGUUUGUUGUAUUAAAUUCACAUGAGAGAGCCAGUUCUAAAGUCGGUAAACUGAAUGUUUGUUGUUCUAACACCAUAAUUAUUUCAUGAAUGGAUUUUAGGAAGUUGAAUCAUGAAAUGGAAAACAAGAAAAACUCACAUUUACAGCAAGUGACGUGCCCGCAUGGGAAAACCAUCUUUUGAUUGUUUAGCUUCUCUUGACAGAUAGGGCAUGCUUCCUCAUCAUCUUUUGGCAAAUAUUCACUUAUCUUCUCUGUUGUCAUUGGCACGGCAGCCAUUUCUUCAGUUAACAAGGUAUUAUUUGAACUUUCAGAUGUUGGUUUCUGUUUUGAUUGUACCAAACCCUGAAAGUAAAUCAGAUAGUAAGAUCAAUGAUGAAAAAGAAAUAUUUUAUUCAUAUACAUACAGUAACAGAAAGGAAUUGAGUGACAAAUGUCACCCAGCCAAGGUUUAUUAACAAUUAUGCUGGCUAAAAAACCAGCAUAAUUCCUCAUAUAUACACCAAUAAAAAAAAAUCAUAGACGACUAUGCAACCUCUGGUUAGACAAUCUAUGACGGACCGGGGAGACGCUCUCCCCUUUGGAGAUGAAACAACAGCUGCCUGUUGGAAGUGAUGACAUAGCCAGAAGAUUGCUUAACUGCAAUUCCAUUCUGAGGUUUGGUGUUCAAAGAAAAGAAUGAUUAUCACACGGAAAUUCCUGCUGUAUUUUCCUUCAGUCUCCUCUCAGCUGCUAGAGCAGCAGCCACGGAUGGGGGCAGAUGUCUUAGGUUUUCAGUUGGCUUUCCAUCACUUUCUGGCACAGUGGACGGCACUGUUGCGAAUAGGGACUCAACAUCCUUAAGGGUUAACACAGGCUGAUCCUGAUUCUUCGUGUUCCCACUAAUGAAUGAACUGGUGCUUCUACUUCUGUUCAGUUUAUAUAUGCUCUCUUCCACGGUGUCUUUAACCUAAUAACAUCAUAGAAGAAAAGGGAGAAAUUUUUGUUAGAACACAUAGAGACUAUAAAGCAGAAAUUCUAACAGAUGACAUGAAUUUUCAAAGUUUCGGACAACAAGCAAACUAGAAAGCACGAGAGGUCUUUGUAAACGCUAGUCCUUAAAGAGUUCCUGCAUGCUCCUUGUCGCACGUCAAAAAAUCCCGCGCGUGGUAUCGGCUAGCGAUUUUUUUCUCGUUGUUGUGUUUGCUUGAAUUUGGUUCGUUGGAGUCGCCACCUAGUAAUUGAUUGAGGGCUACUAGGAAACCCGAUGUACUGGUCUUGUCAGAGAUCGCAAGUAAGGGAUUGGUUGUGGUUAGGGAAGAUAUUAACACCCCUAACGCACCCUACCUGAGAUAAGCUGCUUUGUGUUCUGAUAUGAUAUGAAAAUUAUUAUUAUUUUCAAACAUGAACUACUUAGAUACAUACUCUGUAAAAAUUAAUUGUUUUUUUUUAUACAAAAUAUUUUAUCCUCUAUAAUGACGUGAGACACUUGGAAUUUCAAGUUCACCUAUAAUUUCCAUAUUUUCCUCUGAAAAGAUAAUGGAAAAGUGUAUGUGAUGAGAGUCUCACCAAUUUUCCCACUUAAUAGAGAUAUAUAAUGGGAACAGAAAAAUGAGGUUCCUAUCCAUCCAUUUUUAUGAAGUUCCUAUCAAUCCACGGGAACAGAUUAUAAUUUUAUUUUUAUAAAAAAAAUAUUUAAAUUAUUCUAUCUUACUUUUAAGUAUCUUAAAUAAAAAUAUUAAUAAAUUUUUUUUUUAUUUCUUAUAAAAAAAAUAUUUAAAUUACACUUGAAGUAUCCCCAAUAUUUUUUUUAAUAAAUAUUUCCUAAUUAUUAUAAAAACAAAUUAAAACUAUCCUUGAAUAAUCCUAAACAUAAAUUCUAAUUAAUUUUUUUUAUUUGUUAUAAAACAAAUAUUUCAACUAUUCUUAAAGUAUUCUAAACAGAAAUGUUAAUUAGUUUUUUAUAUAAAAAAACAUUUAAACUACAUUUGAAAUAUCCUAAAUAAUUUUUUUAUAAUAUUUGUCUAUUUUUUAUAAAACAAAUUAAAUUAUCCUUAAAGUUUUCUAAAUAGAAAUUCAAAUUAAUAUUUUUUAUAAUUGUUUUUAUUUAUUAUAUAAAAAAAAUUUAAACUACUCUUGAAGCUAAGCCAAAAUGCUAAUUAUUUUUUUUAAUAUUUUUUAUAUAAAACAUUAAAUUAUUCUUAAAGUAUCCUAAACAAAAAUAUUAAUUAAUUUUUUAUGACACAUAUUUGUUAUGGUACUUUACCUUGAUGCGAACACAUUUUCUUCCCCUUUUAAUUUUUAUAUUUGGUUUUCUAAUUUAUAGCAUUCUAAAACAAUAACAUAACUUUAACUAUAUUUAUAUGUUAUUGGUUUGCUUUUUAUAUUAUUACCGUGUAUGAACCUAAUAAAUUAAUCAAAAUCAUGAUAUCACGUGUUAGGAUCUGUUUUGGAGUAUACUUGAUGUUGUUUUUUAAAAUAUGUUUUAUUUAAAAAUAUAUUAAAAUAAUAUUUUUUUAAUUUUUAAAAAUUAUUUUUAUAUUAGUGUAUCAAAAUGAUAUGAAAAUACCUAAAAAAAUUUUAAUUUAAAAUAAAUAUAAAAAUAUAAAAAUUUACAAAAACAAAUAGCUAUUCUAGAAAUUCUAAUUAUUAUUUUUUUUAUAAAUUAUUUUUAUUUUACAUAAAAAACAUUUACACUAUUUUUCAAAUAUUCUAAAGAGAAAUUCUGAUUAUUUGUUUUUUGGAUUCCGGUGAUGACUAGCCUCCUCCUCCUCCUACUCCAGUACCGUCUUUAUUUUAGAUUUAAUAUUUUUGAAUGUAUUUUUUAUAUUAAUUUUAGAUUUGAUUUGAUUUAUAUUAUUUGAUUUAUUUCUUUAUUUUUAUUCAAUGUAUUUUUUUAAAACAAUAACAUUGAACGGUAUUAUUGGAGCUUCAAUCCUGCUCAUCAUGGUUGAAUGGUAGCCUUUAUCGAUAGUCUAUGUCUCCUUGUAUUGGGAAUGAGGGCAAAUACAUAUCACAAUUAGCUCUGAAUAUUAAUGGGUUUGGAGCAGUCAGCUGUCUAUGUUUUUUAUUUGUUUUUUUAAUUAAAUAAUAAUAAUAAUAAUAAUAAUAAUAAAGAGAAGGCUACUAAAACGUUGAUGUCUUCUUCUUUCUUCUUUUGAUAAGAAUAUAGUUAGUAACGAGAAAAUGAAGGAAAACAGAAGCCGAAGAAUUAAAGAAUAUUGUUGGUGUUUAUGCUCCUUGUUCUAUGUCAGAAAAAAAGAAUCUUUGGAAGAACUUGUGUAUCCUUAGACAUGCCUUCCUUAUUCCGUGGUUGAUGGUGGGAGAUUUUAAUGAGACUUUGAAUCAGAUUGAUAGAAGCAGUGGCUAUCUUCAUAUCAAGGGCUCUUCAGCUUUUAGGAAUUUUCUGGAUUCUUGUCACCUUAUUGAGUAUCAACUGGCUGGAGGUUACUUCACUUGGUUCAGGAAUUGCUUGAUGAGCAAACUAGACCGUGCUUUCUCAAAUGAAUCCUUUCUUCUACAAUUCUCAAAUGUAAUGCUCCAUUGAUUACCUAGAGAAAUGUCAGACCAUUCCCCUUGCUUGUGUCUGAUUCCCUCCUAGAGAGCGGUUAUCGGCCUUUUAAAUUUUUGGACUGUUGGCUUCAAUUUCCUAACUUCAAAAAUAUUAUUAGAGGCUUUUGGUUUGACGAGUGUACAGCAUUCCCAGGACGUUUCAGAUUUAUUAAGAAGCUUAGCUUUGUAGCAGCUCAACUUCGGCGAUGGAACAAAGAUGAUUUUGGUGAUCAGGAGUACAAGCUUCAGGUUGUGAUUUCCCAAAUUGAUGAUCUAGAGAGAAAACAGGAGGUUGAUCCUCUAUGUCCCUCAGAUCACCUCAAGCUUGAAUCUCUUAUAAAGGAUAAAUGGACCUACAGUAAUAGAGUUGAAUGCAAGUGGAAGCAGAGAUCUAGACAGUUAUGGUGCAAGCUAGGGGAUCGUAAUACCAGGUUUUUCCAUUUGAUAGCUAACUUCAGAAGAGCUAAAUCUCAUAUUAUGAUGAUCAAUCAUAAGGGGGCUAAACUCCGGUCAUUACCAGAAAUCAAAUCUAAAUUCAAAGUUGUCUCUUUGGCUAGAGCGAGAUGUGACAUUGGAUGAAAUUAAAAGAUGUGUGUGGGAUUGUGAUGGUUCUAAGAGUCCUGGUCCAGACGGUUUCAAUUUUAAAUUCUAUAAGCUCGCUUGGGAUUUUAUUGCAGAAGACUUAUUGGACCUGAUCACUGAAUUUUUUAGAACAGGGUCUAUGCCGAAAGGGGUUAACCUCUCCUAUAUCACUUUGGUGCCGAAAAGAAAGGUUACUAUGGAAUUCAAAGAGUAUCGCCCCAUUAGUUUGAUCUAUGGUAUUUACAAGAUUAUUGCGAAGAUUUUGUCCAGCAGAUUAAAGGAAGUAAUAGGCAGCUUGAUUAGUGACAAUCAGACUGCUUUUAUAGCAGACAGACAAAUUGUUGAUGGUUUUAUGGUAGCUAAUGAAGUGGUUUAUGAUCUAAAAAGAAGUCGAAGAUCGGGUCUCAUCUUCAAGGUUGAUUUCCAAAAAGCUUUUGAUCCAGUUCUAUGGGAUUACAUUGAUGAGGUGAUGACUUACAUGGGUUUUGGUGCUAAAUGGAGAGGGUGGAUUUCCUCCUGCUUGUCUACUAGUCAGGUUUCAGUCUUAGUCAAUGGCUCUCCUUCCCUAGAGUUCAAAGUGGGGCGAGGUAUUAGGCAAGGUGAUCCCCUAUCUCCCUUUCUUUUUAAUAUUGCUGCUGAAGGUCUAUCUGUUCUCUUCCAACGUGCGGCAUCCUCAGACAUCUUUCAGGGUAUUGAUUUUGGCUCCAAUAACUUCUUAAGUCAUCUUCAAUAUGCAGAUGACACUCUUGUCUUUAUGCCAGCUAGUUUGCAUGCCCUCCAGUCAGUUAAAAGAGUCUUAAGGUGGUUUGCUCUAUGCUCAGGCUUGCACAUUAAUUUUUUUAAGAGUUCUCUUAUAGGAAUCAAUGUUGAUGACUCCUGCUUGGAUGAGUUUGCAAAAUCAGUUUACUGCAGGCAUGAUUCUCUUCCAUGUAAUUACCUGGGAAUGCCUUUGGGGUCUAACCCUAGAAGGAUUUCAACAUGGAAACCCGUCAUUGAUAAGUUUCGAAAGAAACUCACUUCGUGGAAAGGGAGAAUGUUAAGCAUGGCCGGUCGCAUUUGCCUUAUCAAAAGUGUGUUGAACUCCCUUCCUUUGUACUUCAUGUCCAUCUUCCUUAUGCCAAAAGGUGUGUGUCGCUUACUUACUUCCAUCCAACGCAAAUUCUUAUGGUCGGGAACUGUCAAAAUGAGAAAAAUUUGCAAAGUCCAAUGGAGCGUGGUUGUUAGAGAUAAGGAUAGGGGUGGCCUUGGGAUUGGGUCAUUGAUAGCCAAGAAUAAAGCAAUGCUUUUCAAGUGGAUUUGGAGGCUCUCUCUUCCUGGUAAUGAGCUGUGGAAGAAGAUGAUAUUCAACAAAUUCAAGCCGGUGUUUGAAAAUGGUUUCCCUAUUUUUAGUAGAAGAUUGUCUUGUAUCUGGAGGGAUAUAACAUCCCUUAUGACCUCAACAGACUCUGUCUCUUCAGCUUUAGCCAAUAAUUGCAGAUUUGUAGUGGGAAAUGGCUCUCUGACUCGAUUCUGGUCUGAUGUUUGGUUUGAUAGCUCUCCAUUGAAAGUCAUCUACCCACGACUCUACAUUCUUACCACUAAACCGAAUGCCACAAUUGCUGACAUGGGAAUUUGGGAGCAAGGAGAAUGGAAGUGGGAGUUAGCUUGGAGGAGACAAUUGUUCCUCUUUGAAACUGAGCAGGUCGUCUACCUUCUCUCAUCUCUAGAAAGCUUUCGAAUAAAGGCAACAACUUUAGAUAAAAAAGUCUGGUCCUCUUCAACAGAUGGAGGGUAUACAGUUAAAACUUGUUCUUUACUUAUUGACAGGAUUGUGAAUCCAGGGCUUAGAACUUUCAAGGCUUCGAUAUGGCAAAAAGGGGUCCCUCCUAAGGUUCAAUCUUUUCUUUGGCUAGCUGUUCAGAAUAGACUGUGCACUAAGGAUUUCUUACUUUGCCGUAAUAUAAUCCCAGUUGAUCAAGCCUUUCGUAUCUUUUGUGAAAAUGAGAUUGAGACUUCAAAUCAUCUUCUCCUCCAUUGUAGACCAGUGUGGAAAUUAUGGAUGAAAUUCUUGGAUUGGUGGGGUAUUAGUGGUUGCCUUCCCUGCUGUGUGGAUGAUCUUUUACAUCAAUGGCCCAACCUAGUGUUCGGAAAAUUCCAGCGUAAGGCUUGGUCUAUGCUUUCUUGUUGUGUUAGCUGGAGUAUAUGGCUUAUGAGGAACAAGGUAAUCUUCAAUGAUGGAACUGCGACCUUCGAAGAUAUUUUCUCCUUAAUUCUUUAUCGCCUCUCAAAUUGGCUCAAGUCUGCAGAUAAGUUCUUCAUGGCUAUGACAUUACUUUAAUUAUGGGACCUGAAGGUAUUAUAGAUUGGUCUAACACCAAAUAAAGGCUUUUAGCAUGGCGUAUCAGCUUCUUCAUUCCUAAUGUCCUUUUUCGGUUAUGUAUCUGUUGACUUUUUUUUCCUUUCUUUUUGUGUUUGUUUUUUGUUAUUGUGAUUCUUUUUUUUUUUUUAUGUAUCUUGUUUUUGGCUAUUUUUUGAUUAGCCCUUUUAAUAUAUCGACUUAUUCCAAAAGAAAAAUAAAAAUGAAAUCGAUGAGGAAAAAAAGGAGAGGGAGAGAGGGAGAUGGGGUGCUUCUGGGCGGGAAGCGUGAAAAGAAGGAAAGAAAUAAGUAAUUAAUUGAAAAGAUAUUGUACUUGUUGAAGGACGAAAGUGCCCUUCAAGUUAAGACAAGGAAAAGAAGGUAGCUGGGAGAGAGCCAGGUGGCGAUCAUGAGAGGAGAAGGGUGACACGUGGUUGUGACUGGCACAAAGCUCUUCCUUUUUACUGAUUAUUUAAUUAACUCGUUGUCUUCUUGAGGUCCGUGUUGAACGAACCUAAAAAACAAGAUGCCUUUCUAAUUCUAGAGCAGAAGACACGUUUCGAGAUGUAACAAACGCUAGAAAAAGUGUCCAUGUGUUUGUCAGUUUAGGUGUGUGGGAGUUCGACACGUGGAUAGGAAGCAAGUUGCAUGAGGAGUACUUAUUACUCGUGAAAGAUGCGGCUAUCUUUUAUCUUGCUACCUGUGGGGUGAAUACUUUUUUAAAAAAAUAUUUUUAUUUUAAAAUAUAUUGUUAUAAUUUUUUAUUAUUUUUAAUAUUAUAAUUUUAAAAACAAUAAAAAAUAUUAAUUUAAUACUUUUUAGUAAUAUUCUACUAAAAUAACUUGGAGUUACUUUAUUUUUGUAUUUUAAAAGUAUUUUAAAAAGUAUUUAUAUAUUAUAUAUUUUUAUUUUUAUUAAUUUUUUUAUAUGUUUUUAGAUUGUUUUGAUAUAGUAAUAUUAAAAUAUAUCUUUAAAAAAUAAUAAUAAAAAUAUUUUAAUAUAUUUCUAAAUAAAAAAUAUUUUAAAAAUUAACUACAAAUAUCAAAAGAGUUUAAAUAUCAAGAGAGUUCCAACUCAACACUUAUCCCAGUUAUGCAAAGGAUAAAAAGAAAAGCAUUAGACUAGGUUUUCUUAAGUUCCACAAGGAAUAAGAGGGAUACUGUCGUUCAAUAAAUAAAAAUAACGAGGGAUCAUUUGAUUUGCCUUUCUAUCUUUCUGAUAGUCUUUUAAGUUGUGCAAUGCAUUGUAAUUAAACAGGGGUGUUCAUUUAUUCCGAAGUUAGACAGAGGUUAAAUCAAAAUCAAUUUAAAUAAGUUAAGAUAAUUGCUUUAAUUGAUGCAUGGUAAAUAUAAUAUAUCCAUCAAUGUUAAUUUUACAUGUAUAAUAUUUAUAUUGUUUGAAUCCAAUAUAUAUGUAUACACACCCUUGACAUUUAUAUGACACGUAUAAUUUCUAUAUUCAAUAUAUUAUUCUUUUAUUUUAUGUUAAAUUAUAAAUAAUACUUGAUUUAUAAAAUAUAUAAAAAAAAUAUUGAGCAGGAAAUAUUGAAUAAGAUAUGAGUAUAGUACAAACUUUGAUAUAUAAAUACCUACCACUAAUAAAUAAAUUCAUUUGUUUAUGUGCAGCGUGAAGAAGAACUAGAGUGGAUCUUGACAAGUGUUGACGUUUAAAACUAGAGAUAUUACACGCUUGACCUUAUCUAAACACAAACAGAUUGGUUGCAUUGUUUGCUGUUUUUUUUUUUUUAUUAUUAUUUGAAAAGAUGAGAUCAGUUUCAUUUGAGUUUGUAACUAUUCCUCUCAAGAAGUGCACUUUAACUGCACACAGCUCAGAUGCAUUAUGAAUCUACAUUUAUAUUUUUCCUGAAAAAAAAGAUAUUUAUUUUAAAUUCCUCUCAACAAUUAUCACAACGGGUGUAUGAGUUAAUUUAGGUAUAUUUUAAUUAAUUUUAUAAAUUAAUAAUCAUACAAAAUGCAAACGGUUAGUAAUUUGUUGAAAUUUAUAGAACCCAAACUUGUAACUUAAAAAAGAAGAAGUAAAAUCUGAUGAGGGAAGUUACACCACCAUGUAGAGAGAUUCUUUUAGACCCUGAUUUUUCCUUCUCUUCAUGCCUCUCUCCUAGAAGUCCUAAGAAAUACAUAGGUAUUAUUGAAGCUUCAAUUCUUUUUAAUUUUUAUUUAAAAAAUAUUUUUAUUUUUUAUAUUAAUUUAAUUAAUUUAUUUUACAUUUUAUUUGAUUUAAUAUAUUUGAUUUAUUUUUCUACUUUUAUUCAAAGUAUUUUUUUUAAAAUACAUUGAAUGGUAUUAUUGAAGCUUCAAUCCUGCCCAUCAUGGUUGAAUGGUAGCCUUUAUCGAUAGUCUAUGUCUCCUUGUAUUGGGUAUGAGGGCAAUUUUAUAUAAAAGAUUUCACAAUGAAAAUUUCACCAACCAAUAAACUGUUAUCGUGUUCUUUGGGUUUGAAUUUUCUAAUGAAAUGAUGGAAAUUCAUUGGAUGGUAGAGUGGGUCUUGCUGCUACCUUCUUACAGUUGAUUAUUUUGCCUACUGAAGCUCUUGUUUUUUUUUUAUUAUUGUUCUUUUAAUUGUUUGAGCGAUAACUUAAAAUUUCAUUCGUAGCAUUGAUCUUCAAUUUAAAAUCAAAAUAUUCUCAAACCAAAGAAAAACAAAUUCUAACGCAUAAAAUAGUGCCGACAUAAUUUGAAAGAAAAAAAGUUUGAAGAUGAAAUUCAUAUUACAAAAAAUUAUUGUUCCAAUUGAUAAUCGAAUACAAGUAGCUAGCUAUACACUAUGAGAAGAGAUCUCCCAAACUUAUUGUGCAAAACGCCUUGGGCAGUGGAGGGCACUUAGCUGUAAGCUCGAAAGAAAUUUUUUCCAUUGUAGGCCGAGAUUGGGGAUUGGGAUGCAAGCAUGCAAGUGCAAUUUUUAUCAUGUGGACAACCCCCUCUGCUGCUUUUUCAGGAAGCGAUAUGCGGUGGUCUAACACAUCCUUCAAUGGUGUAUGUUGAGCAAUCGGUGGCAUCGACGAUGAUGACGAAGAUCCUGGUGAUAAGAGUGCUGAAAUGAGAUCGCCUGGGUGCCUUCCUGUCAUCACCUCCAUUGUUACCACUCCGAAGCUAUAGACAUCGCAUUUUUCAGUCACCUUCAUUGUGUAAGCUAGCUCUACAAAAAAAAAAAAAAAAACUGAUUAUGCAUGGUUUUUUAUCAAAUAGUUGAAAGAAAAUACUUUAUAAUAAAAGCUAAAAAAACACUAUAUUAUCUUCACUAUUACACAUUAGUAACUUGAUGUUGAAAUAAAACUACGCACCUGGAGCAGUAUAUCCAAAAGUACCUGCAAAUGAGGUCCAAUUGGAUGAGUCAGGCAUCAACAGUCUAGCGGUGCCAAAGUCGGAGACGUGUGCUUCAUAUUCCAAGUCCAGAAGGAUAUUAUUCCUGGUAAUGUCUCGAUGAAUGAUCGGAGGAGAGCAAGAAUGGUGUAGAUAGGAUAAAGCUCCACCCAUCCCUUUCACAACGUUUAGCCUUCUCAUCCAAUCGAACUCAAUUGCUUGUUCCUCACUGGUUAUAAUCUUUCUCAAGCUUCCUCUUUCAAUGAACUCAUAAACCAAAAAAGAAUGCUUUGCAUGUGAGCAAAAUCCAUACAUUUUCACAAUAUUUCGAUGUCGAAUAUUUGCCAACACACAAACUUCCUUUUCAAAAGCUUUAAAAUCGGACAACUUUUCUGUUUGUGAUCGGUGAAGUUUCUUCACAGCAACCACCUGUUCUGUUGGCAUCACUGCUUUAUAAACAGUUCCAUAUCCUCCUUCGCCAAUGCAGUAGUUGGAGUUGAAUUCCUCUGUAGCUUCAAUGAUGUUCUCAUACAACUUCUUCCCAUUGUCGCACCCCAAAAAAAUCAGCGCGCGGCAUCGGCUGGCGAUUUUUCGUCUUGUUGUUGUUUGCUUGAAUUUGGUUCGUUGGAGUCGCCACCUAGUAAUUUAUUGAAGGCUACUAGAAAACCGGAUGGACUGGUCUUGUCAGAGAUUCGCGGGUAAGGGACUGGUUGUGAUUAGGAAAGGUAUUAGCACCCCUAACACACCCUACCUGAGGUAAGCUGCUUCGCGCAUUUGAUGUGUUAAAGAAGUUUUAAUAAUUGUCUUUUCGUCGGAAAUUAGAAAUAUCACUUACGUAUAAGUUAAUAAUUCUUAACCGUGAUCCGAUCAAAAUAUUAAAUUCUUCUUUAAUAUAUUUUCAAUUUCAUCCUAAAAUAUAUAUAUAUAUAUAUAUAUAUAUAUAUAUAUAUAUACACAAAUAAAUAAAACAAAAUACACACACACAUUCACUAUUUUCAUUUCUUUUUUUUUCUUUUCUCUUUUCUUUUCUUUUACAUCCACAAUACAAAUACAAAUACAAAUAAAAAUUCAAAUUCAAAAUAAAUAAAUAAAAAUACACCAACACACACAUCCCCUUUUUUAUUAUUAUUUUCUUUUCUUUUCUUUUACAUUCACAUAUUACAAAUUUAAAAUAAAUAAACAAAAAUUACAUUAAAACUUUAAAAUUUACAAAAUGGUCCCUCAAAACUCUCGAAUUUGCACAGAAGGACUUCUGGGGAUGCAUGAACAGUUCCGGCGCGUUUUCCCACGCGCCGCCGGGAGAAAAAACAGGGAAAUCAGUCACGGCUUCCUCUCUUCUUCCCCUCCUCACCGGCGAUGAUGCUGUGACCUGAAAGAUAACAAAAAAACGCAACAAAACACAAUCAAUCCUCUUCUUCUUAGAUCUGUUUAGAUCUGCUCCUCUUUCCUCCUUCCUCAAUCGCAGAUCUGUUGAGGAGUGUUAGGUGGCUCGCCGGGAAGCUUUUUUUCUGCCCGUUGCUCCUGUCUCCUUCCCCGGUGGCAGAUCGGGCGGCGACGCUGUCGUUCGUGGGCACCGUUGAAGGCUGUCGUUCGGGUGGUUGCUGCUGGUGAAGAUGGGAGCCGCUGUUGAAGGAGGCUGAUCUGCUGUGUCGGCCAGAUGAGGGAGAGAAGGACGGCGCUGCUGCUGCCACCGCUGAGGACGGCUGGUCUGGGAGGAUCGACCGAAAGGGAGAGAGGUCUGGUGGAAAGGAACGGUUCGGUUUUGUUGGUGGCGAAGCUGUGAUUGAUUUAUGAGGGGAACGGUGAUAAGGGAGGAGCAGUUUUGGCCGACGAUGGGGCUGUAAAGGGGGGGAGUCUCCGGCUGGAGGUUGAAGAUCAGAGGAAAGGGGGAUGCGCCGCUCCUUUUGUUCUCUGGUUUUGGGUGAGUCGGGUGAAGGAGAGAACCGGCGUGGAGAAAAUGUGGGGAUCUGAAAAUGGUGGGGGGUCCUUGGCUCUCUGGUUCUGGUAGAGCCAAAAUCCAAGGACCCCGGGGAACAAAAUAAUUCAAAAUCAGUGGGGGGAAGGCGCCGCCGGCCAGUUGUUUUGAGUGGAUAGAAAAAGUUGGGCUUUAGGGUUCUUGUGUUUUUUUUCAAUAUCCCCAAAUUAACCCCCCCCGGUAAAAAUCAGUUUAGCAUGGUAUUUAUAGGCAAAAAUAUUGCUAGGUUUUUCGACUUGGUCCCUCAACUUCUUUCUUUUUGUAAAUUUUGAUUUUUCUUAUUUUUUUGUAUUUUUUGAAAACGAGCAAUAUCAACGUCGACUCAAAAUGCGGAAAAUCAAUGAUUUUAAAAAUGACGCGUGAAAAGUCGAACGCGUUUGAAAAUAUUUUAACAAUUUAAAUUCUUUUUUAGACGCCGUUGAAAAUGCUAAAAUGACGAAAAUAUAUUAAAAAAAUAUUUUUUGGAUUUUCUUUGUUUUUCUCAAUUUUUUUGGAUUUUUUGAAAAUAUAUCAAAAACAUCGGUCAAAAAUUGGGUAGCAACAGAUGCCCCCUCUUUACAAUGCUUACGAAGCGAAAAUCCUCAAAAUUUUGCAUAGUAAGCUUUGUAAAGAAAACAAAAGGAAGAUGAUUUCAUUAUCUUGGGCGACCUGCCCACACACUCACACUGAUCUAUUUUCACGGGUGACCUGCCCACGCAUACUCACUCUGGUCUAUUUUCACGGGCGACCUACCCACACGUACUCACUCAAGUCUAUUUUCACGGGCGACCUGCCCACACAUACUCACUCAAGUCUAUUUUCACGGGCGACCGACCCACACUCUCCCAAUAGUCUAUUUUCACGGGCGACCUGCCCACACAUUGGGUUUACCUGAGAUCCCAUCUAGCGACCUCAUUCAACUGGAACGAAAAUAUGUGUAACUCGGUUAACCUGAAAUCCCAUCUGGCGAUUCCCUUUAACCAAAGUUACAUGAGAUCCCAUCUGGCGACCUCAUUCUGGUCUCAUUGUAUGGGUGACUAACCCUCGAAAAAUGCUGGUCUCAUUGUACGGGUGACGAACCCUAGUGCUGCUGGUCUCAUUGUACGGGUGACGAACCCUAGUGCUGGUCUCAUUGUACGGGUGACGAACCCUAGAAAAAUGCUGGUCUCAUUGUACGGGUGACGAACCCUAGAAAUAUGAUGGUCUCAUUGUAUGGGUGACGAACCCAAAAAAAAUGAUGGUCUCAUUGUAUGGGUGACGAACCCUGGAAAAAUGAUGGUCUCAUUGUAUGGGUGACCUACCCAGAUGGAAAAAAUGUGAAGUGCGGUCUCAUUGUAAUGGGUGACUUACCCAUGUGGAAAAAAUAUGAAGUGUGGUCUCAUUGUAAUGGGUGACCUACCCAGUGGAAAAAAUAUGAAGUGGGUCUCAUUGUAUGGGUGACCUACCCAAUGGAAAAAAUAUGAUGAAGUGCGGUCUCAUUGUAUGGGUGACCUACCCGAUGGAAAAAUGUGGAAAAUGGUCUCAUUGUAUGGGCGACCUACCCAAUGGAAAAAAUGUGAAACGGUCUUAUUAUGAUGGGCGACCUACCCAGAUGGAAAAAAUGAUAUGACAAGUGUGAAAAAUAGGACUUACCUGGCGAAGUUCUGAAGGGAUGACAGAAGAAAGGGCUGGAAACUUGGUGCUUCCUGAUAAUUCCCGAUCAUGGGGUUUGAAAACUCGGUGUUUCCUGACUGCAAGGGUUGAAAACUCGAGGCUUCCCGGUUGCAAGGUUGAUCUAUUCAUUUCUUUGGGAUUUUUAAUGGUAGGGUUCAUCCCAUCGUCCUUUUAUUCCAUGAUCAAAACCGAUUCUUUAUUAUCAUCACCACAAUGCUUCUUUCUCUUUCCACCAUCUUGCUGGACCUCAUUAAGGAUUUUCCUGUAACAAUUCAAAAAUAUGUGCAAAUGGUUUUUUUUUUUUUUUUUUUUUUUUUGAGGUUAGAUGAUAUGCAUGCAUCCUUACCUGAUUUGAAAUAAUAGGUCCCCCCUCUUUGAUGCUCCAUCGUCAUAGGGUGCCCUUGUUUGUAUCCCAAAGCUUUCUUUGUUCUUCCGAUGUAUUGGCUCAUUCAUGUGUUAGCCAUCCACUCAGCUGUAAAUGCAGUGCCCAUCCCGGGCUGUCUUCGACAAUUACUGCUUGCAUCGUUCAUGAAGCUUGACCCUGCCCCCAAGUGUGGUACUGCUUGAUUCAUCAUGAAGAUUUUCUCUCCUGGCUUCUUCUGAGAAUUAUCCUCUGAUUGAUUGUGUGCAUCAUGCCAACACCCAUCAAGAUUGUUAAUCAGUCAUGAACUUGCCUCUAGUUGAAACAGUACUCUUCAAGUACAUGUUAUCAUCAGCCUCCUUGGAACUCAAUCAGUCAUCUAGACAUGCAUCUCAUAGCUUGCAGUACAAAGGCUCAUGGUUGUAUGCUCAGUGCUCUUCUCAUAGAUUCCUUUCAACUCUUCUAAUCAGAUUGUGAAAAGAAAUGUCUCAGCCUCAUCAAUGAUGCUGCUUUUAUCACCAUACUCAUGCGGUGAAGCGCUCAUCUGGCUUCAGAACAAGUUGUCCCACAAUCAGUCUUCGAGGUGGGUUCCUUUCCGACAUUCAUUCAGUGCAGUUGUGUGAUAACAUCUCUCUAACCAUGUUUCAAAGAAUGACAAUAUGAGAUUGUCCUUUAAGUGCAGCAUUGUUCCACAGUCAGUCUUGGUGGUGUGCAUCUUUUCACCAUUCAAUUACAUUCAUCUGUGUAUCUCAUCGAUUGCUAGCCAUGUUUCAAAAUGAUGAUAUGAAAGUGUCCUUCAGUACAUCUUUGUUUCUCCAUUGCCGACAGGGUUCACUAAGCAUGGGCCAUUUUGGAAUGACAAUGCCCCCGUAUGAUCUGAAUGUGCUCGUUCAUUGAUUAUCUUCUUUGAACAUCAUUGUCUUCAGUUCACUGAUUCAUCAUUUAAUCAUUGCCUCAUAGCUGAUCUGAGCACUGCUUGUUUUUUCUUUUCAAGGUCUACUGUAUUGCCCCCAGUGCUCAACUUUUCAAGGAGUGUCGAGGACUUCAAUGUCAGUUUCUAUCAAGAUUUUGCAUACUCAAUCAAUGUUCUUUUGUGUUUGAUAAUCUUCCUUGUUCUGGAAUCAACUCUCAUAUUUCAAAGAUCAUGUCUAUUCAAAGUCUAGUUUGUUGAAAUGAAAUCAGAGAUGUCCUUUUUUGAAAAUCUUUUGAAAAUCAAGCUUUUUGAUCAAAGACCCAACACACGUUAUUCGAAAUAUAUAGUCCUUUGAUUGUCAUGCAUUUUGAAAACAGAAAUUGACCCAAUGUAGGAUUAAAAAUGGCUUUUUCCAUGGUUCUUUGUAUCAAUUUGAAUCCUUGAUAUUGGGUAUAUCAUUUGAUAGUUUAUGAUGAGGUGAUUUUUUGAAUUUCAAAACAAGAUGCUCAGGCUUUAUCAAGAAAGGUUGUUUCUUUUCUUAUAUUUAUUUUAUCAGCAUGCAUAAUAACCAGUAGCCUAAUUCAAUGAAGCCACGACUCUUAUAGAAAAACUCUUCAAGUUUUGAGAUCGCCAUUUAUUGGUUCAGAUUGCUUGCUUGAUUAAAAAGGGCUUUUAAAAGCACGUAAUGCAGGCUAUGGUUCAUGGCUAUGAAAGAAAGGAAUUCCAUAGGCUCAAAAGGUGUUUGAGGGUUUCAACGACCUAGGACCAACAUUAACUAUUCAUCGAUUCUCUUUCUCUUGUCGUCAUUGUAGCGAGAGUGACAUAUAACCUUGUUAAUCUUCAAAUAUCAGAAUUCUCUUAACAUAGGUCAUAAUGCAAAUCCAACUUUUUCUUUGAUGAAUAAACUAAUCUAAUUAUUUUUGAAGACAUUAGAGGCUCUAUCCAAGACACACCAAAAGAUAUGAAGCAUCGAUUUUUCUAGUGUUGACUUUUGGCAUUUGCUGUCUUUUCUCAAUUGAAAACUGUCUUGCCUCUCUUAGAAUUGAUAGGCAUUUUCUUUCCUUUCCAUUUUUUUUAGCCUUCCUCAAAGUUUUUCUUGGAUGGCCCUCAAUCUAUGGAUUUUCUUCUGCUAGCCCUUUCUCAAACAUUGGACUUUUGUUCUAAGCUUUUCUUUGAUCCAUUGAUUUUAUUAGUGUCUCCAAAAUAUUUCUCAUUUGCCCCCAGUGUGGGGUGUGAUCCUAGUCAGGGUUUCCUUUUGAAAGAAAAUAUUCACCAGCUCAAAAUGGGACUACAAGGGAUAUAAUUUUUAGAAAGUGAAGAGAUAUCAAAGAUGGCCUUUUCUCAUUUCAAGCAAGGUCGGUUAGAACCGAUAAAUUUUGACCUCAUCUAGUAUAAUGAUUUGUACUUGCAAGAAUCAUGAUUCACGAGUCCAUAACUAUUGAAUCCACUAUAUGUCAUUAUGCAUACUGUUAAAACUUAGCUAUAUGAUGUGUGGUUUAGUUUCAAAAAGGUAUGAGUUCAAAAUUGUUUGGGUCACCUCAUGUCAUUUUCAAGCAUAGAGUCAUUUCUGUAAUCAAAACACUUCUAAUCUUCCGGAUUGAUUAACCUUUAUCGCAUGUUGGAGUUUGAUCAAAAUAUUUUGUCAGAAUAAAAUGCUAAACAUCUGUUGAUUUCAAAACAACAAAGAGACAAAAGCAAGGCAUGUUUCGUUGAAGGAUGAGAUGUGAUCCCAAAACAAAAUGCAGAAUUCCAUAACAAUAUGAUUGACUGUUCAUCACCCUUCUCGAAUCAGCUUUUCUGGCAAUAUCUGUGUUUUGCCAAGCAUUUUCGAUCACAUGUCAUUCUGAAGAUGUUCGGGGAACAAUAUAGCCAGUGACACCCUUCUUCAACGACUCCACCUGUCUCUUGCUCACCAACUUUCAGACUCCAUUCUUGCAAUUCUUGAAACUGUUCACUUGAAAUGGUUGAGGACCCCACCAUGACAUCACAUCUCUUAUCUGGAUUAUACCACUGAGAAAUUGGUGGUUGCAUGGGAAUUUGUCGGAGUCAAGCAAAAUUCUGGAAUCUUGCGGAUGCUGGUCGACAACUUAAACGGCAGAGCAAUGUCCCAUCUUGGCAAAGAUAUUUUGAGCAAUUGAUGAUGCCGUGAGACCUGGCUAUACCACAUAAUUAAGGGUUCACACUGUCAAAGUCAUCUCCUGAUUCACCUCUCAUCAUUGUUCUAGAAUCCAUGGCAGAUCCUUCAAUCUUCCAAUGUUGCUAUGGUUGGUUGAGGAUUGUUAGAAAACUUUCUAACAGCUUGGUAAUCUUGGCAGCAUCCAGAAACUUGUAGUAUCGCCACUACCGACGUGUGGAAUCACACAUUGUCUUUAUUGGAAGAGCACCUGAUGAAUCUAAAACUCCUUCGUCCCCUCUUCAAUUUCUCACUGACAGUGCAGCAAACAAACACCUAUAGAGGAAGUCCUGCUCUGUUGAAGUUUCAGUAUUCUUCAUGUUUUUCAGUCUAGGCAUGUAUCUUCUCUCUACUUUUGCAUUUUAAUACUGACACUGUUGGAGAAAAAUCAUAAAUGAUCUGAAACUACUGUAUUCCUUCUUGGAUUUCCACUUGCGGAUCCACAAACAGAUUCCUGUCGGGAGAGCUCUGCUACGUUGAAGUUUGAUGUCUGCUCAUAUUUUUCAAGCCAAGUCUGGCUCUUCAACCUGCUAUAGUUUCUUCGUGCUGAAACUGAUGAGAGAAAUAUUUGUAGCAUAUGCAAUUAGUAAAUCCCCUCUUGCAUUCCCAAUUUGCAGAGCCAUAAAUGGAUUUUUGUAGAGAGAGCUCUGCCACAUUGAAGUUUGACAACUACUAAUAUUAUCAGACCAGGUCUGACUCUUCUGCCUACUACAAUGUUUUGCUGGUGCCACUGGUGGGAAAAGUUUCAAAGCAUAUGAAACAUUCCCUUUUGCAUUUGCCAUUGACAGAUCCACAAAUAAAUCUCUACAGAGAGAGCUCUACCACGUGGAAGUUCAGUGUCUGAUCAUGGUCUUUUUCAUACCAACAUCUUGUGCUGCUGAACUGGAAUUGAGCUCAUAGUUGGGGUAACUUCAAAGCAGACUAAUGCACCAUGAACAGGAGGUUAGUAGUCGUUUGGUUCCAUUAGAUGAUGUGGAGGCGAUGAAUACUUAACAGCGCAACUGGACAGGAAUCAGAGUUGUCAUUAGUUGAUGACUGAAGGCGUUGUUGCUGUUGUUCAUGACUGAAAAGGAAAGGUACAGCUUCAAUUGGACGUGAACAAGCAGUGUUCCCACAGAAAACUGUGCAGACAUUCUCUUUUCAUUUGAUGCUCAACACUUGUUCGAGCAGAUCUGAGUCCCGCUACUUCACUCUUGAUGCUCUCAACCUUAAUCUGAUACUGAACCUAUAUCUGACUCCUUUGUUCACUUCCAUUAUUUUUCUUCAAUCUCGUGCAGCACAACUUGUACAAGGGACCUACGUUUCGACCCGGUUCAUGCAUGAUAAAUGUAUGAACAUGUAAUCUAUAUGAUGAACUCUCCCUUCGAGAGGUGACAAUAUGGUCGUAACUCUUGUAUGAUGGACAAGAAUCGUGAUUUUUGCCCAAACUCUACAAUGAAAAUUUUCGGAGCAACGGCCAAUGUGUCACCCACAAGUCUUGAGUUCAAGAUGCUUCAAGAAGGGUUUGCCCUUAUGCAAAAAACGAUAGCACAUACAACCUAAGGACAGGUUCUAUUCAUUAUGUGAACAUGGGUAAGUUUUCUAUCUGGUCUCAAAAGGGUCUCAUAUCUGCCCAGUGACGUUCUUCGUAAAGACAGUUUGGGGGCGUUGCAAGGAAUGGUUAAGGUACGUAUACCCACCAUUACCAAGCAGGCACUCAGAUAUGAGUUGGGUGUUUCACGCAUCUGAACCCUGACCAAUAGUCUUAGGGCAGAUCGCUAGUUCCCCACCUAACCUAGAAGCUUGUGUGUGCUUUUAAAAAUAAAUACAGGUGAUGCAUGAGACAAUUCUAUAAAAUGCAUGGAAAUAAAUAUUAACAAAAAGAUAAAAAUGCAAAAACUUAAACACAUCAAAUACACAAAGCUUAGUCCAAUACUCGAAAAAAUACCUUCCCCAGUGGAGUCGCCAUUCUGUCGCACCCCAAAAAAAUCAGCGCGCGGCAUCGGCUGGCGAUUUUUCGUCUUGUUGUUGUUUGCUUGAAUUUGGUUCGUUGGAGUCGCCACCUAGUAAUUGAUUGAAGGCUACUAGGAAACCGGAUGUACUGGUCUUGUCAGAGAUUCGCGGGUAAGGGACUGGUUGUGGUUAGGGAAGGUAUUAGCACCCCUAACGCACCCUACCUGAGGUAAGCUGCUUCGUGCUUUGACGUGUUAAAGAAGUUUUAAUAAUUGUCUUUUCUCGGAAAUUAGAAAUAUCACUUACGUAUAAGUUAAUAAUUCUUAACCGUGAUCCGAUCAAAAUAUUAAAUUCUUCUUUAAUAUAUUUCAAUUUCAUCAUUAAUAAAUAUAAAAAUAAAUAUAAACACAAAUAAAUAAAACAAAAUACACAACACACAUUCACUUUUUUCAUUUCUUUUUUUUUCUUUUCUCUUUUCUUUUCUUUUACAUCCACAAUACAAAUACAACAAAUAAAAUUCAAAUUCAAAAUAAAUAAAUAAAAAUACACCAACACACACAUCCCCUUUUUUAUUAUUAUUUUCUUUUCUUUUCUUUUACAUUCACAUAUUACAAAUUUAAAAUAAAUAAACAAAAAUUACAUUAAAACUUUAAAAUUUACAAAAUGGUCCCUCAAAACUCUCGAAUUUGCACAGAAGGACUUCUGGGGAUGCAUGAACAGUUCCGGCGCGUUUUCCCACGCGCCGCCGGGAGAAAAAACAGGGAAAUCAGUCACGGCUUCCUCUCUUCUUCCCCUCCUCACCGACGAUGAUGCUGUGACCUGAAAGAUAACAAAAAAACGCAACAAAACACAAUCAAUCCUCUUCUUCUUAGAUCUGUUUAGAUCUGCUCCUCUUUCCUCCUUCCUCAAUCGCAGAUCUGUUGAGGAGUGUUAGGUGGCUCGCCGGGAAGCUUUUUUUUCUGCCCGUUGCUCCUGUCUCCUUCCCCGGUGGCAGAUCGGGCGGCGACGCUGUCGUUCGUGGGCACCGUUGAAGGCUGUCGUUCGGGUGGUUGCUGCUGGUGAAGAUGGGAGCCGCUGUUGAAGGAGGCUGAUCUGCUGUGUCGGCCAGAUGAGGGAGAGAAGGACGGCGCUGCUGCUGCCACCGCUGAGGACGGCUGGUCUGGGAGGAUCGACCGAAAGGGAGAGAGGUCUGGUGGAAAGGAACGGUUCGGUUUUGUUGGUGGCGAAGCUGUGAUUGAUUUAUGAGGGGAACGGUGAUAAGGGAGGAGCAGUUUUGGCCGACGAUGGGGCUGUAAAAGGGGGGGGAGUCUCCGGCUGGAGGUUGAAGAUCAGAGGAAAGGGGGAUGCGCCGCUCCUUUUGUUCUCUGGUUUUGGGUGAGUCGGGUGAAGGAGAGAACCGGCGUGGAGAAAAUGUGGGGAUCUGAAAAUGGUGGGGGGGGGGGUCCUUGGCUCUCUGGUUCUGGUAGAGCCAAAAUCCAAGGACCCCAGGGAACAAAAUAAUUCAAAAUCAGUGGGGGGAAGGCGCCGCCGGCCAGUUGUUUUGAGUGGAUAGAAAAAGUUGGGCUUUAGGGUUCUUGUGUUUUUUUUCAAUAUCCCCAAAUUAACCCCCCCCGUUAAAAAUCAGUUUAGCAUGGUAUUUAUAGGCAAAAAUAUUGCUAGGUUUUUCGACUUGGUCCCUCAACUUCUUUCUUUUUGUAAAUUUUGAUUUUUCUUAUUUUUUUGUAUUUUUUGAAAACGAGCAAUAUCAACGUCGACUCAAAAUGCGGAAAAUCAAUGAUUUUAAAAAUGACGCGUGAAAAGUCGAACGCGUUUGAAAAUAUUUUAACAAUUUAAAUUCUUUUUUAGACGCCGUUGAAAAUGCUAAAAUGACGAAAAUAUAUUAAAAAAAUAUUUUUUGGAUUUUCUUUGUUUUUCUCAAUUUUUUUGGAUUUUUUGAAAAUAUAUCAAAAACAUCGGUCAAAAAUUGGGUAGCAACACCCAUCAUGGUCCAAUAUCGUGAAUAUGUUUCGAUCUUGUUCAUUUUCUGGCUCAGCGUUUCUCUUCCUAGCUCUUUUGCAGAGAAUGUAUAAAGCUCCAAACACUAAAAGCAAGCUUCCUAAAAGAGGGAGUACAAUCAAAAUCACAAGCUUGUUGCUCUUUCUCUUAACAGUUUUGCUGCUUUCUGGAAGAUUGCAUGGCUUGAGACCACUAGCGUUGCCACAUAUACCCAUAUUAUCCCUUAAUGCCUCAAAUGAAGCGUUGUGGAAGGCUUUGAUAUCGGGAAUGGGGCCUUGUAGCUUAUUGGAUGAUAUAUCCACAGUUGUUAAGCUUAACAUGUCUUUGAAAGUGCUCGGAAUCCGUCCAGAAAGCAUGUUGUGAGAGACAUUGAAAGUUUCCAACUUUUGCAGUUGCCCAAGUUGCCUUGGUAUCUUUCGAGUCAGGAAAUUGAAGCUAAGAUCAAGAUCUUGAAGAGAAAGUAGAAAGCCUAUCUCACCUGGAAUGCUUUCUCUAAAUUUAUUACCGCUGAGGUUUAGGAACAAUAAAUUCGAGCAUUCCCCAAGUUGUUUUGGAAUCAAUCCACUCAGAUUAUUAGAUGCUAAAUUAAGGAUUCGAAGAUUGAAAAGCAUCUUAAUAUCUAAGGGAAUGACACCUGAAAGAUGGUUGUUGUUAAGGAGAAGCUCAUACAACAACUUCAAACCCCCUAAAUCUUUUGGGAUGGCUCCUUUUAACUGAUUUGAUGACAGAUCAAUCAAGUGUAAUUGAGUAGCCUUCCCAAGCUCUGAUGUUAUCUCACCAGAAACAUUAUUGUUUGAGAUUUUAAGGCUUGUCAUGUUACGACAAUCUCCCCAUUUUGAAGAAAGCUCACCAUAAAAAUUAUUGUAACUCAAAUCAAUAUAAUCUAGAUGUGGAUAGACACCAAAAGCCUUAGAAAUAUUUUCUGUUAAUUGAUUCCAAUCAAGUCUUACUCGGUAUAAACCAGUACAGUUUUUCAAACUUUUCGGGAUUGAACCUGAGAAGUAGUUGUAGGAAGCAGUAAAGAUUUUCAAUACUCCUUCAUGGCAUAAAUCUAGUGGCAAAUCACCCGUGAAUUCGUUGGCACCCAAAGACAAUAACUUCAAAUGGGUGAGAUUGUUCAUCUCUGAGGGCAAUGGGCCGUGAAAUCUGUUCUCAUGUAAUGUCAAGUUCACAAGUGAUUUAAGUUGUCCUAUUUCUGAAGGAACACAUCCAGAUAAAUUAUUUUGACUUAGACUAAGCAAAGUUAAAUUUCUUAAUUUUCCAAUAGAAGAAGGGAUUCUACCAGUUAAAACAUUAAUUGACAAGCCAAGUUCAUUAAGAGACUCUAGCAACCCAAUUUCCUGAGGAAUGGGACCAGAGAGUUUGUUAUCCCAAAGAUAGAGUAUGGAUAGGCUUGUCAAGUUUCCAAUAAAAAAGGGGAUCAAAUCAGUGAGAUUAUUUUGCUGUAAUGAUAUUUUAAUGAGCAUGGUCAAGUUCCCAAUAGAAAAAGGAAUGGAACCAGAGAGUUUGUUAUCCCAAAUAUAAAGCUCAGAUAGGCUUGUCAAGUUUUCAAUAGAAGAAGGGAUGGGACUAGAGAGUUGGUUCCUAGAAAGACCAAGGUGAGACAAAUUUCUUAAUUUUCCAAUGGAAUAAGGGAUUCUACCGGUUAAAACAUUAAUUGACAAGUCAAGUUCAUUGAGAGACUCUAGCAAUCCAAUUUCUUGAGGAAUGGAACCAGAGAGUUUGUUACCCCAAAGAUAGAGUAUGGAUAGGCUUGUCAAGUUUCCAAUAGAAGAAGGGAUUGGACCAUAGAGUUGGUUCAUAAAAAGAUCAAGGAUAGAUAAUUUUCUUAAUUUUCCAAUUUCAUGUGGGAUGGUUCCAGAAAGAGAAUUGUUGUGAAGGUCAAGACAAAAAAGAUUACGGAAGGCCGAGAAGUUGAAAUCAUGAAGCGUACCUCUCAAGCCAAAACUUUCAAGUGUCAAAUUGGUGAUGCUUCCAGAAUUGUCACAGGUGAUUCCAAUCCAGUUAAUGCAAGGGCUGAUGCCGACCCAAGAAGAAAGAAGAGAUUGGCUUUGGUUGUCAAGACAGGCUUUCCAUUGGAGAAGAGCCUCAGCUUCUGUAUUAUUAUUACCAAAUGGUGAAGUUGUGGAGGAAGUGUGUUCAGCUAAAGCAAAGAAGGAAGAAGAGCUGAAUAUCUGAAGGAGCAAAAACAGGAUGUGGAGAAAGAAGGAGAAGAAUGGUUUGUUUAGUAAGGACGUCGUCAUGGUGUGUUUUUCAAGAGACGUAGGAUAUGGUUUGCUAUGGUACUAGAUUAGGCUCUUCCAUGGAGUGGUAUUUAUAGGCAGGAAAACAUGAUAUAUUGGAAUUGUUUUUAAUAUCAUUGAUUAUUACAUCUCUUCUCUAAUUAAGUUGAAAUUAACUACUUAGAUACAUACUCUGUAAAAUUUAUCAGUACGAAGAAGAAAUUGAGAAGACUAUAGAUCAGUACACUUGAAGUAACAACCACGGGAACAGAAAAAUGAAGUUCCUAUCAAUCCAUUUUUCUGAAGUUCCUAUCAAUCCACGUCAACCGAUUAUAAUUUUAUUUUAAAAAAAAAACAUUUAAACUAUUCUAUCCUUUUAGUAUCUUAAAUAAAAAUACUAAUUAUUUUUUUAUAAUUUUUUUUUAUUUUUAAUAAAAAAAUAUUUAAAUUACACUUGAAGUAUUCUAAAUAUUUUUUUAUAAAUGUUUUCUAUUUUUUAUAAAAAAGUUUAAACUAUCCUUAAACUAUCCUAAACAUAAAUUCUAAUUAAUUUUUUUAUACUUUCAAACUCAUCACAGUUGUAGAUCCCAAAUGGCUCGUGGAACUUGCUCCCAGAUUCUUUAAAGUGGGAGCGUCAAGAACGCGUUGAACCUCUCUAUGAUAGAUAUCACGAACCUAAUUCAUGGCGGUUGAGUAAACGGCGAGCUUGAUGUGUUUUCAGUUAUUUUUAUCAACAAGUUUUCAGUCUUAAUUAAUCUUUUCUUGCUACAAAACGUAGCUGUACAUAUUCUGUCUUGAAUCUUGAUUAUGUAUUGAGGAAAUCUAGACACAUGUAUAUCCCUGGAAGAUAACAAGCGAGGUCCUCUGGUCUUCUUGACAUGAAUUUGUUCAUAACUUUUGCUGCUAAUAACAAUCAUUUGGAUCAAUUUAAGGUUGGUGGAAAUUAACUAGUUUAUCGGGUAAAAUCACUUGGAAUGUCCAGCCGGAGAACAUUUAGGGUCGAGGGAUAGGUACACCUCCAAGUGCCUUCUGAGUCCAGCGAUUAGUGCCUGGGCCCUCUCUAUAUAUACUUUCUUUGCUCCAAAUAUAGUAUUACUGGAUAUAAUGUUAUCGUGUUCUUGGGGUUUGAAUUUUCUAAUGGAAAUUCAUUUCAUUAGAAAAUUCAACAUCAAGUUGGAAAUUCAUUGGUUGGUAGAGUGGGUCGGAGGGAGAUGGCAGAGGAUUCUGGACCCGGUGGUACCUCAAGCUCUGCAGGGGAGGAUGAGGCACGGGCUUCCAUGAGCUCAUGUCCACAGAAACACUACGUGCAAAUUGCUCUACGAGAAAGUCUUUGGCAAAAUCUAUACAAGUGGUCUCCAUAUGAUAUGGACAUUUCACGAAUGAGAGAUGGCAUGAGAAUAAGGUUUCUUGAAGGCAUAUAUCUUUGACAAUUCUGUUUAAAGAAGAAGUUUUUGUUCAGCAGAGACAUUGGAAUGGGAGAUUGCAAACCAGAGCUAGUUGUAAUGAAGAUUAUUGGGAUGUGUUUCUAUACAAAACGGAAAAAGAAGAAAUAUUGACGAUCCAGUUCUUUGAACAGAAGUAGACAAAGAAAGAUGGUGCAAAGAUUGAAUGGGGUGUCUAAUAUCUGCCAUUGGAGACUAAAGGAGAAGAGGACCUAGCUAUUCUUAGCUUUGUCCAGUUAUUUUUGUGUAACCUACACAGCGAGUAUACAUAAUGGCUAAAUGAACUAAUUUACAACGAAUUCCUCGUUAAAUUACUCUAGAACUGACAGAGGGCUAAAAAAUGGCAUUCUUCAUAUAUACACCAAUAAAAAAAAUAAAAAUCAUAGACGACUAUGCAACCUCUGGUUAGACAAUCUAUGACGGACCGGGGAGACGCUCUCCCCUUUGGAGAUGAAACAACAGCUGCCUGUGGAAGUGAUGACAUAGCCAGAAGAUUGCCUAACUGCAAUUCCAUUCUGAGGUUUGGUGUUCAAAGAAAAGAAUGAUUAUCACACGGAAAUUCCUGCUGUAUUUUCCUUCAGUCUCCUCUCAGCUGCUAGAGCAGCAGCCACGGACGGGGGCAGAUGUCUUAGGUUUUCAGUUGGCUUU
rnacentral:lncRNA from 1 species